CGCCGGGAGGACGCGCCGCGGCAAUACGCAAAAACCUCCGGCCCGGACACCUGUUGCACCGCGGCGCCGCGGCGGCAGGCGUCGGUUCCGUCGGCGACGCCGGCCGAGCUCGCGAGUGCGGUCCUGCGUAGGCAGCCGGUGCCGGCCGUCCGAGGGCGCUCCGCGGGCAGAGGUCGCCGGGCUUCCAACUGCCACCUCGCGCCGUCCGUUUUCCGCCGUCCCGCUAUCGGUAGCUCUGCAUAGUUACCCCAGUUGUAAGCGACGCGGUUGAGAACAAUCUGCAAACCACGCACUGUGAUACGUAGCGCGCUAUCGGCGUGUGGGCGACGCAGUGGAACACAGUCGAACCAGUGACUGGGUGCCCGUCUCAAGCUGAGCCCGUCGUCGGGACAGCCACUCCAGAAGACUGUAAACAUCACGUCACUGAGUACUUCGAAUACUACGUGAAAUAUAGCAGUAUAAAAAUGUAGACAAAGGAGGUGUAGCAGUACGAAAAUGUAGACAAAGAAGGUGGGGGGGGGGGGGGGGGGGGCAGGCGACGCAGCGGCAGACAGAGAGUAGAGUAUUCAAAAUGCUAUAGAGGAUGAUGAGUGUAACAGCUACGAAUGGAUGAAAAGAUGGAGGAUUGCAGGAAACCAGUAGAAAUACUGAAGAAUAAGAAAAAAUAGUAACAGUUGAGUUAGGUUCUCAACAUAUUUUGUUCCUGUGUUCCUUGUGUAUGAGUCAAGUAUGAUAUGAAUUAGUAGUAUUUACUGCACAAUGUACCAGUUAAUGAUUAUUAUGUCUUUUAUUUAUAUCGAGAACACAUGAUUCCUUUACAAGAAGCCGCUAAGAACGUGUCCUAUGAGAUGCAUACUGUAAUAUGUUCCACAAAAAUAAAAUAAAUAAAAUAAUGAUGAUUUUUGAA